rnacentral:rRNA from 1 species
GAUGAACGCUGGCGGCGUGCCUAAUACAUGCAAGUCGAGCGAACAGACGAGGAGCUUGCUCCUCUGACGUUAGCGGCGGACGGGUGAGUAACACGUGGAUAACCUACCUAUAAGACUGGGAUAACUUCGGGAAACCGGAGCUAAUACCGGAUAAUAUAUUGAACCGCAUGGUUCAAUAGUGAAAGACGGUUUUGCUGUCACUUAUAGAUGGAUCCGCGCCGCUUUAGCUAGUUGGUAAGGUAACGGCUUACCAAGGCGACGAUGCGUAGCCGACCUGAGAGGGGGUACGCACAAAGGGAAACAGGGACGCGGUCCAGACCCCUGCGGGGGGACGGAGUGGGGAAUUUUCCCAAAGGGGCGAACGCCUGCCGGGGCAACCGCGGGGGAGGAAGAAAGUUCUUGGGAUCGAAAAACUUUUUUAUUGAGGAAAAAAAAAUGGGUAAGUAACUAGCCACGUUUGGAGGGGACUAAAACAAAAAGCCCCGGCAAACUACG